rnacentral:lncRNA from 1 species
GUGUGGUGCAGUGAUGUGACCGUAUCCCCAAAUCAUAAGUUUAUAAAUCGUAUUGUAGGGCUUUUUUUGCAAAUGGCCCCUAAAAAAAUUUUAUUUUAAAAGUAGCUCUGUCAAAAUUUAAUUUGCAAAAAUGGCCUGGCCCUGCCACGCAGGCGCCAUAUCACCGCCACGCGGGCAGGAGGCCAGUGUGUUAAGUUAAACACGGUGAACUAUUCACCGUAUUCAAACACGGUGAACCAUUCACCGUGUUUCAUAUUUAUAUUCUUUUUCUUCUCUUUUAAGGAUGUCAAUGGGUCGGGUUUGGAUCUCCGAACCCGGCAGGUUUUAAAAAUCCAUACCCAUAUAACUUUAAUAUAUAGAUAUAGGUAUGGAUUUUUAAAACCCGCAAGGCUCGAAUUCGUGUAUGGGUUUUAAUUUGAUUUUCGGAUUCGAUUUCGGGUUUUUAAAAACCCGAUCCAAACCCGACCCGUUGACAUCCCUAAAAGAGAAGAAAAAGAAUAUAAAUAUGAAAUACGGUGAAUCAUUCACCGUGUUUGAACUCGGUAAAUAGUUCACCGUGUUUGAACACAGUGAAUGGUUCACCGUGUUCAACUUAACACACUGGCCCCAGUCCUGCCCGCGUGGCGCUGACAUGGCGCCUGCGUGGCAGUGCCAGGGCCAUUUUUGCAAAUUAAAUUUUGACAAGGUUAUUUUUAAAAUAAAAAUUUGCCGGGGGACUAAAUUGAAAAAAAGCCCAUAUUGUAUUUUAUAGAAUACAAAACUUGAGGUUUAAUUGUACUAUAUUACAGUGUACUUUUUUUUUUUUCACCUUUUCAUCUGCAUAUAUACUUCUACAUUAUUCCUUCUAAAUUUGCUACAUAGCAACAUUCUUUUUAUUAUUGAGUAUGGGCUUCACCUCGAACCAGUUCAAGUCCUCCAUAUUCCCUUUUUUUGUUUGAAUUGAAUCUAAUUUUUCUCUUUUUUUGCUUGAACCGAACCAAUCAUUAUUGAGUAUAAGCUCUCCCAAAUACAAAAGAUAAAUAAAUAAAUAAAAAGCGCUCGGAGAUUUUGUGUAGAUUAUAGGCAAUUUUGAAGAUCUUUUGGAUAUGCUCCAAGGGUCAAAAUUAUUUUCCAAGCUAGAUCUAAGAGUUGAAUACCAUCAGAUUCAGAGAAAUGCAAGUUACCCUUUCGAUUUGUUUGAUUUGAAUUGGUCAACGACACUUUAACUUUAAAUUUUGAAUGCAUCAUUUUUUUUUAUAGGUUUAGUUAGUAUAUACUUCAUGCAAUUAGUGCAACUAUAAAUUUAUUGAAGUAAGAAAUUAACUUCAAUUUUAAAGCCAAAAUGUUGUUGACUGACUCAAAUUAAUAAAUUGAAAGAUUGAAUAGCAGAUUCAAAAUGAUUCACAUUUCAGCUAAGUUCUAUAUAUUUUUCCCAUAUAUACUAAAAGUAUCGUUCUCUGAUAGCUUAAAUCUUUUGGAGACAAAAGGGUGCUUCACACUCCUAACAAUAU